CGCCACGGAACUCAGGAGGGGAGAGUCAUUUGGCACCGCUCUGCCCAGCGGGCGGCAGCCCUGGCUGCCAUGGUGGGGUUUCCGCUCUCAGAGGGACAUUGGGGGCAAGUCUGGCAGACAGAGCCCUCACCAGGACCCCUCCCACCCUUGGGACGGUGUUGAAGGGCUGCCAGGACGAGGAAAGAGAAGUGGCCCACCGUGUUACCGUCACAUUUGCCAGGACUGGAAAUUCCCAGGGCGCUGAACAGAUGCUGUGUCAGCUGAUGAGGGUUUUACAGCCACCGCAGACCCAGUUGUUAUCGGAUCAGAUGAAGUCUCACCCAAGGUGGGGCCAGUCACACCUGGGCUCCGGAGGAAGAACUGUGGAUGUCCCCGGCCCCUGCCGCUACCUCACAGGUGUGCAGCAGGCAUUGCAAGUGAUCUGAGGAGGAGCCCUUAGUGGGUCUACGGGCUGGCACCCACGGCAGAUCACUAGGGUGAUCCCAACACUGAGGAAUGAGCUACAGGAGAGGGAGGGCGUUCCCCAGGGGUCAUGGGUUGAAUUGUACGCCCUCAACAUUUAUCGAUUGAAGUCCUAACCCCCAGGACCUCAGAAUGUGACUUUAUUUGGAAAUAGGGUCUUUGCAGAUGAGGUUAUAUUGCAGUAGGAUGGGCCCUAAAUCCAAUAUAAUGGUGACCUUUUAUUUAUUAUUAUUAUUAUUAUUUUGCCGCAAAAAGCUUUAUUGUUUCCAUUUGGUCCAAUGCAAGGGAGAGGAAGACUUCAGAAUGGUUAAAAGGAUUGCUAGUGGUUUCAGGAAGAGGCUCAGGCAAAAGCCAGAUACCAGGGGAAGGCAAAAGGGGCCCUCAAAGGCCUCUGAGCUCCAAAGGCUCCUAGAUGUACCUGAGGGCAAGCCUUUCAAAGAGACACUCACCCAGCCCAGCCCAGCCUGGGGGGCGGCCACGCUGAGGAGGUGAGUCAGGUGUGGCCCAUCUUCUUGAUGAGUUUCACCUGCUCACCCAGGAGUGGUUCUCCAGGAAGUCACAGAGCUGAGGGUCUGCGCGGGCAAAACCCAGGGCCUGCAGCUCAAACAGGACCUGGUUCAGGUUCUCCCAGGCCAUGGCGGCUUCCGUGGCGUCCUGAGUUUUGCCCCAUUCGUAUUGGGACGGCUUCCGCACGUCCUGGACGAGCACUCGGCUGCUGCGCUGGUUUUGCAUCUUUAAGAGACACUCAGCACCCUCACGCUUCGCUUCGCCAACGAGGGGAAGACGUGGCCCACGCCCUCCGGAGCCACAUCGUCGAGGUGGACGUAGCAGCCCAGGGACAGGUUCUACCACCUGUUCCCCAAGCCCUGAACUGGCUGAAUUGGACCCUGUUUCUCCCAGCGUAAUCCACCCUACCUCUUCCUGGGCCAGCCCCAGCCCUGCAGCCCCCGGAACAGCAUGUUCACUACCUACGCACUUGAAAGGAGCAGUUUUCAGGAAGGGAUUAGUGAUUUUGUGUCAUUCCCCUGGACCAUAAGCAAAAGGCUGGAUCCCACGUGCUUCUCCCAAAGAAGGCCGUCACGGUAAGAGUGGAGGUGUCAUGCUAGGGAAAGGGUACUUUUAUUAUGGAAAAUUACUGACAGAAAAGUGGAGAAACUGUGACAAACCCCAGGUUCCCAUGACCCAGCUUCACC